rnacentral:tRNA from 1 species
AAAAAAUUAGUUAAACCCAAUAACAUUAGUAUGUCAAACUAAAAUUAUCAAGCUUCUUGAUAUUUUUUG